UUUUGGCUGGUGUCAGAUCUCUGUCAUGUGGCAGUCAUGCAACAGUCUUCACUGGCUUUGAGGGACCAGACUGCCAAGUUUCUGUUGGAGCGGCAUCAAAAGGCUCAUCACUGAGUCAUAACUUUGGAGACAAACAAUGACGACAAUGGUUAGGAUGAUGACAAAUGCAAUCUUAGAUGUUCUCACUGGAAAGGACAUUACAAAGCUACUAGAAAUCUGUUUCAGAGACAGACACAGACAGAGUAGUGGGCUGCCCAAUUUCAUGUAACGAAGCCUUGUGAUUUUUAUACCCAGGGUAAUUCAUGGACGUACUACAAGCUAAAUUUGAUCAAAGUACAGUGUGUCCUGUGUCUGCCAUCAUCCAAAAAAUGUUUUUCAUAUAAAAGAAUUAGAUCGUUCUUGCUUUAAAUCUAGUCUAAAUGAUGGCUGUCUAAGGGCCUCAGAAGCUGGAGAACACACAACAAAGGGUCAGAGGAAUAUCCACCAAAGCCUCAGUUUGGGCUUCUAGCGCUAGUCAAAGCAAUAUCUGGAAACACUUUUUAUCCUGCAACAACAAAAACACACAGUAUCCCAGAUUUCAGGCCCAGCAUAGCUGCAUCAAACCACACUGCCCGCUAUGGUCGGGCCUUAGAAAAGAGGCUUAUACAGAAAUCCAGCUAGGGCUAAACGCAUUAGCCUACAGGCUAAAUAGCAUGACAGCACAACUAACAGACUGAGCCCAACCUUGGUCAGACGGCAGGUCUUGUGAGGUCAUUCCCAAAUACCGCUAACACUACCUCUUCAUCCCGAUUAUCUUCGAGCAUGAAAGCAGUUUUGUGGCUGUAGGUGGAUGAAGGAGGAGGUUUCUCAGAAGAGAAAUGCUCAAAAAUGUUCUGUUUCAGUCUUGAGUAAAUGUUAUGAUAAUUUCAUUUGCGUGAGUAAUUGUGUCUGGUCUUGCAGACUGUUUUUGGCUCUGGAGUACAGAGCGGGAGAACAAGAGGAUCAGGAGGCACGCCUAUUGUUUUUUGGAUCAAUUUGAAAGGAACUUGAGGAGUAGUGAAAGAUACCAUUUGCCCUUUGCCUUCACACCCUGCAUGUUUUAAGGAGAGGCAUUGACUCUGGACAAAGGGAUCCACAGCUCUGUCCUCCUUUCUCCUGGAGCACAGUGUUCAAAGGAAGACGUCUGUCAGAGCAUGAUGGCGUUUAUAUAUUCUCUUUAAAACAUUACGACAUAAGUUGUAGAAGAUUAAAUAGUUUUUUAAACCAUAUGACAACCAGAAGGGCAUGUUUAACGCAAGUAACAAUUACUGCCUCUGAGAGUACAACAACUUUUGGCAUUCAAAUAAUAAUAAAUAAAUUAAAAAAACGUUUGGACACAUGAUUCAUUAUUGCAAUGCUGUAGCAUUCCAAAGGCAAAAACAACAAGCUGGAGGCAUGGGAAUUGGAUCCGCAACAAGUUAUCUUUCUUGUGCAACCCAGCCUGCCUGUACAUACAUGUCUGUGUGCAAUAGUAUGCUUUGAUUACUUAGAGGAGCUAUAGGCCUCCAGUCAGGCAGAAGGGCCUGUGGAGUGGGCUGUACUCCGGGGCUUUAGACAAACCAACAGUAAGCAGGAAAUUUAGGAAAUCAGCAGAGCAGAGGGACAAUGACAACGAGAUUAGAGAUCAGUUAACCCCCUCCUCUGGGUGACUGAGCUGUUUGUUCACUGACUGUGACUUCCUUUUAGACACAAGCACGCAAUCUAUGAAACACACGCACACACACUCUGAAACACAACCUGUUGCACACUCACUAACCUAUUCAAACUCAGCCUCUCUCACACAUCCCCUCUCUCAAACACAUUCACCUCUUGAAAUGAGUAGUGCACCUCUGGAUGUUUUCCCACAUUGCAGUCUUUUUCAAUAUAACAGGAGUUAAAGCAGUAGCUCCCGCUUUACGCCCACUGUCUCGCAGGUAAUGGGUGCAGCCAACCAACCAGCAGGACUUAGUUUAACACUUGUGACUAAAAAGCCAACUUACAUCACUACCUGGAUGAUGUCAUCUGAUGGCUGGCAACCAUUCUUGUGGUGGAUGACUGCAAAUAUGAACUAAACCUUUAAGGAAAAGAAACUGACAAAAAGGCUGCACCUGAAAGCCUUAUUGCUCUUGUACUCUGACCUCACCUGGCUUAUCUCCUUGGCAAAAGAAGACUUUCACCAGCGACACACCUGGAGAGGUCUACAAUGCAAGAGGGACUUUACACUUGGAAGGAUUAGCAUUGCAAAGAUUUAAAAAAAAAAAAAAAAGGAUCAGAUGUCCAAGAACUGUAAACCCUCAUCUAAGCAGCAGCAUAGACAAAGUCUUCCCUGGAACAGUUGAACAAGCCCCAUCAUGUCAAAGAUCAGUUUGUGAGGGUGUGCAGGUAGACGCUGCCUAGUUUCCUAACAGAGACGUGUGUGCAUGUGUGGGAUUCAAAUAUCCUGGAUUUGCUCAGCAAGACAGAUGUCAGUAUGCUUUUGAGCUUCACCACUUCCUAAGGAAUUUUUGUCAAACAAAGGAGGACAUACAAAAAAGGCCACAAAGACUUUUGGGGAUAUAUAAAAACAUUUAAGUCUAUUUCAAACA